AUUGAACGCUGGCGGCAGGCCUAACACAUGCAAGUCGAACGGUAACAGGAAACAGCUUGCUGUUUCGCUGACGAGUGGCGGACGGGUGAGUAAUGUCUGUGAAACUGCCUGAUGGAGGGGGAUAACUACUGGAAACGGUAGCUAAUACCGCAUAACGUCGCAAGACCAAAGAGGGGGACCUUCGGGCCUCUUGCCAUCGGAUGUGCCCAGAUGGGAUUAGCUAGUAGGUGGGGUAACGGCUCACCUAGGCGACGAUCCCUAGCUGGUCUGAGAGGAUGACCAGCCACACUGGAACUGAGACACGGUCCAGACUCCUACGGGAGGCAGCAGUGGGGAAUAUUGCACAAUGGGCGCAAGCCUGAUGCAGCCAUGCCGCGUGUAUGAAGAAGGCCUUCGGGUUGUAAAGUACUUUCAGCGGGGAGGAAGGGAGUAAAGUUAAUACCUUUGCUCAUUGACGUUACCCGCAGAAGAAGCACCGGCUAACUCCGUG
rnacentral:rRNA from 1 species